UGCAAAGUAAUGCCAACCCUCCUGCGGUCCACAGGUGGUUCAAGAAGAGAGCAGAUGUAGAGGAAGAACUGGGCAUCUCACACGUGCUUUCCUUCACUGCGGCCCAAGAGAACACUGGGGAAUACAUUUGUGAGGCACAGAAUCAAUACGGUGCAAUGAACUCCACAAACCUACAGAUCACCGUCAUAGGCAUAUCCUUCACUGCUUUCCUCUCAAUUUUGACAGCUUUAUCAUUGCUCAUAUUUGCACUUCUUGCACUUCUUAUUCUUAUGAUUUGCAGGAGGUAGGAUCUUGCUAGAUUUCUUUUUUAAAUUAUGUGUCCUAUACAUUAUUGGAGAUAAUGUUUUCUUGUUUUGGUAUAUGCAGGUGGAAAGAGCCAGUCAGAAGUGAAACAAGCCAAGAUCAGAACAUUUAUAGCAAUGUGUCCGCAAGUGCAGUGAAAAGCGAGCAGCUCCAAUCAAAGCCAUGUGAAGAUGAGAACACCAGCACCAUUAACCCUGAACACACGUUCAAACA
rnacentral:lncRNA from 1 species